CAGUAGCCGCGGUAACACGUAGGGGGCAAGCGUUAUCCGGAAUGACUGGGCGUAAAGGGUGCGCAGGUGGUUUAACAAGUUAGUGGUGAAAGGCAUAGGCUCAACCAAUGUAAGCCAUUAAAACUGUUUAACUUGAGUGCAGGAGAGGAAAGUGGAAUUCCUAGUGUAGCGGUGAAAUGCGUAGAUAUUAGGAGGAAUACCAGUGGCGAAGGCGACUUUCUGGACUGCAACUGACACUGAGGCACGAAAGCGUGGGGAGCAAACAGGAUUAGAUACCCGGGUAGUCCCUGUCUCUUAUACC
rnacentral:rRNA from 1 species